GAAUAUGGAGCCCUCGGCGCGGGGGUGGCGUGUCAGGUGGUUACGGAGCUGGUAAGAAUCAUAUUCUAAGAACUCAGCCACUCAGGUAUCCACCAUGGUGCUGGGUCCUGAACAGAAGAUGUCAGAUGACAGUGUUUCUGGAGAUCAUGGGGAGUCUGCCAGUCUUGGUACCAUCAACCCUGCCUAUAGUAAUCCCUCUCUUCCACAGUCCCCUGGGGACUCAGAGGAGUACUUCGCCACUUACUUUAAUGAGAAGAUCUCCAUUCCUGAGGAGGAGAAUAAGAGGCUGAUGGAACCUGCGGGUAAGGGAAGGGCUUUGACUUGGACAGAGCAGUGGCCGGCUUCUUAAUAAAAAGUGGGUAAGAUGGAAGUGAAACUUGGACACAUGCAAUAUCUGACAUAGUAAAUCCUUUUUUCUUGUGAGGCUGGAUUUUGUUGCUUCAUAUGUGAUAACAGAUCAAUUAUAUCAGUAGUUCAAUGGUGAUGUUCAGUUUAAUCUCUUUUCCUCUCUUGUACAGUACUCUUGUUUUAGCUUUCGUAAACUCUGGGCU
rnacentral:sRNA from 1 species